UCAAGUUACUAAGGGUUAACGGCGGAUGCCUUGGCUGAUGGCUGCGAUGAAGGACGUGGUAAGCUGCGAAAAGUCUCGGGGAGUUGCACGCGAAUUUUGAUCCGAGAAUGUCCGAAUGGGGAAACCCACUUUAGUGAAAGCUAAAGUAUCUUGGUGCUGAAUACAUAGGCACCUUGAAGCGAACCUAGGGAAGUGAACCAUCUCAGUACCUAGAGGAAAAGAAAACAAUAGUGAUUCCGGCAGUAGCGGCGAGCGAAAUCGGAACAGCCCAAACCAUUAACGUGUAAGCGGCAGGCGUUGCGUUAGUGGUGUCGUGGGACCUACCGUUGGAACUGCCUUCCAACAUAGAGUUACAAAAUGAUGUGUUAGUCGAACAGUCUGGAAAGUCUGGCGAAACAGGGUGAUAGCCCCGUAAGCGAAAACAUAUUGUCUCUAGUAGAGUUCCCAAGUACAGCGGGACACGAGAAAUCUUGCUGGAAUUCACCGCGACCAUGCGGUAAGGCUAAAUAAGACCAUCAGACCGAUAGUGAACCAGUACCGUGAGGGAAAGGCGAAAAGAACCCCGAUGAGGGGAGUGAAAUAGAACCUGAAACCGUUAAUCUACAAGCAGUGGAAGCUCUAUGGUUUACCAGAGCAACCGCGUGCCUUUUGCAUAAUGAGCCGGCUAGUUAUUUUCAGUGGCAAGGCGAAGUCGAUAAGACGAAGCCGCAGGGAAACCGAGUCUGAAUAGGGCGCCAGUCGCUGGAAAUAGACGCGAAACGGGAUGAUCUAUCCUUGACCAGGAUGAAGUUCGGGUAACACCGAAUGGAGGUCCGAACCAGUGUGGGUUGAAAACCGCUUGGAUGAGUUGAGGAUAGGGGUGAAAGGCCAAUCAAAUUCCGUGAUAGCUCGUUCUCCCCGAAAUAGCUUUAGGGCUAGCGUCGGAUGAUUCGUCGUGGAGGUAGAGAACUGAAUGGACUAGGGGGCUUACCAGCUUACUGAAUCCAACCAAUCUUCGAAUACCACGCCGACCAGUCCGGCAGUCAGACUGCGGGUGAUAAGAUCCGUAGUCGAGAGGGAAAGAACCCAGAUCGCCAGCUAAGGUCCCAAAAUCGAUACUAAGUGGAAAAGGUUGUGAAUGUGCUUUGACAGCCAGGAGGUUAGCUUAGAAGCAGCUAUCCUUUAAAGAAAGCGUAAUAGCUCACUGGUCAAGCGGGUUCGCGCCGACAAUUCAACGGGGCUAAGUAUCGUACCGAAGCUGCGAACGAAAGUGGUAGGGGAGCAUUCCCUAAGUCUGUGAAGGUUAACCGCGAGGAUAGCUGGAGACAUGGGAAGAGACUCUGUCGGCAUAAGUAGCGUAAAGACGGGCGAGAACCCCGUCCACCGUAAGACUAAGGUUUCCAACGCAAGGUCAAUCCGCGUUGGGUUAGUCGGACCCUAAGCCGAGGCCGAAAGGCGUAGGCGAUGGAAGGCUGGUUAAUAUUCCAGCACUAUGAAUAGUUCGUUACCAGCAAUGCGGGGACACAGAAAGGUAGUCAUGUACGGCUAUGGAAUGUCGUGCGCAAGGCUUCAAGGACGUGACCUAGGUAAGUCCGGGUCACACAAGUCUAAGUUGUCUAACGAAAAAUGAUGAUCCUACGCUGUCGAGAAAAGCCGCUAGCGAGAAUUAUUUGUAUCCGUACCGCAAACCGACACAGGUAGUCGAGGAGAAAAUCCUAAGGUGUUUGAGUGAUGUCUGUUGAAGGAACUCGGCAAAUUAACCCCGUAACUUCGGGAGAAGGGGUACCACGGUAGGGUUCAUAGCCCGAGGUGGUGACACAAAAUUGUCCCAGGCGACUGUUUAACAAAAACACAGGUCUCUGCAAACUCCUAAGAGGAGGUAUAGGGGCUGACGCCUGCCCGGUGCCGGAAGGUCAAGAGGAGCGGUUAGCCGCAAGGCAAAGCUGCAAAUUUAAGCCCCGGUGAACGGCGGCCGUAACUAUAACGGUCCUAAGGUAGCGAAAUUCCUUGUCGGGUAAGUUCCGACCUGC
rnacentral:rRNA from 1 species